rnacentral:piRNA from 1 species
UUGAUAUAAGCUCUAGCUGCACCGUCU